rnacentral:rRNA from 1 species
CCAUCCCAGUUCGGAUCGCAGGCUGCAACCCGCCUGCGUGAAGUUGGAAUCGCUAGUAAUCGCGGAUCAGCAUGCCGCGGUGAAUACGUUCCCGGGCCUUGUACACACCGCCCGUCACACCAUGAGAGUUGGGAAUACCCGAAGCCUGUGAGCUAACUUUUAGAGGCAGCAGUCGAAGGUAGAAUCAAUGAUUGGGGUGAAGUCGUAACAAGGUACC